rnacentral:rRNA from 1 species
GCUUACGAUCAUGCCACGCUGAAUAUACGCGAACUCGUCAGAUCUCGCAAGUCAAACGCUGAAUAUACGCGAACUCGUCAGAUCUCGCAAGUCAAGCGUACGCGAACUCGUCAGAUCUCGCAAGUCAAGCAGCGUCGGGCCUGGUCAGUACUUGGAUCGGAGACGGCUUGGGAAUCCCAGGUGUCGUAAGCU